CUGUUAGCCACUGGCUUCUCUGAUGGGUUGGAUCACAGAAACCCUUUUGGGCCUGCCAACUGAUAUGCCAAGACUACUACUGCCCCUGCUUUCCUGCCCUGGCAGCUUGGGACUUCAGUGCCCUGCCUGGUUUGAGCCAGACCCGUUAGCUUGCUGCAAACCCAGACCCAGAUCUGAACCACAUCCCCUA